rnacentral:rRNA from 1 species
UGGGGAAUUUUGGACAAUGGGCGAAAGCCUGAUCCAGCAAUGCCGCGUGAGUGAAGAAGGCCUUCGGGUUGUAAAGCUCUUUUGUCAGGGAAGAAACGGUGAGAGCUAAUAUCUCUUGCUAAUGACGGUACCUGAAGAAUAAGCACCGGCUAACUACGUGCCAGCAGCCGCGGUAAUACGUAGGGUGCAAGCGUUAAUCGGAAUUACUGGGCGUAAAGCGUGCGCAGGCGGUUUGGUAAGACAGAUGUGAAAUCCCCGGGCUUAACCUGGGAACUGCAUUUGUGACUGCCAGACUAGAGUGUAGCAGAGGGGGGUAGAAUUCCACGUGUAGCAGUGAAAUGCGUAGAUAUGUGGAGGAAUACCGAUGGCGAAGGCAGCCCCCUGGGCUAACACUGACGCUCAUGCACGAAAGCGUGGGGAGCAAACAGGAUUAGAUACCCGAGUAGUCCCUGAGCGGGCUGGCAAGGCGCAU